rnacentral:lncRNA from 1 species
UAAAAAAUUACAAUUAUAUUGUAGUUGGAGAUGCAUGUGGUUAGAAAUACAGCAGUUGCAAUUAGAUGCAUCUUGUUUAGUUGGAUGUAGUAGAAAGCAUUUCUGCUAUAAAUAAUUUGUUUGGUGGUAUAUAGUUGAAAAAUAAUUUUUAAAAUUUUAUCAUUUUAUGUAUAUAAUUGUGAGAUUACCUUCAAUAUGCAAAAAAUAUUUUUUAUUUAAAAAAUAAUUAAGGAAGUAGGUAUAUCUUUUAUUUAAAGUUACUCUCUUCAACUGCUGCAGUUGGAACUGCGGUCAAUUUGGGCGUAGUUUAAACUGCUGUAGUUAGAUACUUUCUCACUUUAGUACCCUGUGGUUUAAAGUGUAUCAAUUUAGUGUCUUGUGAUUUCAUUUUUAUAAUUUUAUUAUCGAUUUCACUAAUUUUUUUUUAUUAAAUCAGUAACGAAAUUAAAACUAAAAAGUACUAAAGUGAAUAUUCGAUAAAUCUAAGUAGAGUAUCUGAAGUUUUUUGCAUAUAAUUUAACAAAAUAUCAACAGAAAAGUUGAUGAAAAGAUAAAAAUAAAACCAGAACAUACUAACUCGAUACAGUUUAGAUCACAGAAUACUAAAAUAAGAAACCGUGAAGUUAC